rnacentral:rRNA from 1 species
GAACUGAAGAGUUUGAUCCUGGCUCAGAUUGAACGCUGGCGGCAUGCCUUACACAUGCAAGUCGAACGGCAGCACGGGUGCUUGCACCUGGUGGCGAGUGGCGAACGGGUGAGUAAUACAUCGGAACAUGUCCUGUAGUGGGGGAUAGCCCGGCGAAAGCCGGAUUAAUACCGCAUACGAUCCAUGGAU